ensembl:snRNA U6 U6 spliceosomal RNA
GUGCUUACUUCGGCAGUAUAUAUACUAGAAUUGGAACGAUACAGAGAAGAUUAGCAUGGCCUCUGCACAAGGAUGACAUACAAAUUCGUGAAGUAUUCCAUAUUUUU